GCCACAUCUGACACAAUGCAUCAAUGUUAUCCAAGCGCCACUGGACCUUUCAGGACCUUUUGGAAAGCGCCACCUCAGCACUUAUUGUGGCUGGCCGGUGGGCCACGGGCACAAGGUUAGGGUUCCGCUUUGGGUUCUGUUUGCACCUCCAGACAACACCUUUUUCCCGACAUCCCUUUUGUAACCAAGCAGGAGCUUUUCUUGAGGACGAAUUGGUAAGCAGAGGGUGUUGCAGUGCUGUGUGUGUGUGUGUGUUUGUUUGUUGCGAAAAUGAUGAAAUGUAAAAUGACUAGAUUUUGGUAGAUACGUCAAGUAAAUGCAACAGAAAGAACUACUGGUCUACUCGAGUAUAUGAAGAAAACUCUAAUGAAUAAAAGUGAUGGAAUCUAAUGUUUCAAAUAAAAGUAAACUAAUGACAUACUUAUAUUAAAAUGUGUUAAUAGAAAUGAAAGCAAAAAUAAAGACCAAUUCAAUGCAACUCAAAUGGAGCAAAUAUAAGCUAUGGAAUGGGAAUGAAGUGACAUGGGUACUUUUAUGGCUAUUGCUGGAAAUAAGGAGUAUGAAAGAGAAGUUCUUUUUCUUUAGCUAUGCACUUCAAUGCUCCCAUUUCACUGAUGAGCUAGCUCGACGUUGCGCCUUUGCCGUCCGUUGUCGGUAUUCGCUUGAGUUGCAGACUGAAAGAAGAUGUCCUUGAAGAGCCCUCUCGUGGCCGGGCUGGUGUACUGCCUUCAGCGUGCGGCCAAGGUUUUCUGCCGUCAACACAAACGCCACAGCGGAACUUCGGCCGGACCCCGCAACCUGAUGGGGCUUUUCCAGCAGCUUUCCAAGAGGAUCACCCAUCUGCUGCGGAACGCUCUGUGAAUGACCACAGCAGAAAAUGUGGAAAGGUGAUGAAAUGGGCAAAAGAAGCGCUUUCUUUCUUUCUGCUGCGGUGUAAUCCUUUUGCCACGUUGUUGAAAAUGCUUGUCAUUCUUUGAACACUAUUAAACUCGGUCGAUUAUUU